UAGAGUAUAGCCAAGUGGUAAGGCAUCAUUUUUGGUACCGGAAUACAAAGGUUCAAAUCCUUUUACUCCAG
rnacentral:tRNA from 1 species